CAUCGAUCUGAGUAGAGGUUGGUUAGAAAUCAGCAGAUUUCGAGUUUCAGCUUUUCUUUAUCCUCUUUCCUUAUCAGGAUUCCUCAAAUUCCUUUGGAAUUAAUUCCAUUAAGAGUGGCAUUCCUUGAUAUAUGACUGGGCUUGGCCAAAUUCAUCUUGUCUCCAUCUUUUCCUGUCGAAUUUCAUGAGGGAACUCGCCCAUACAUUUGAUUCAGUGGGCCUCCUAUAACUCA